AUUGAACGCUGGCGGCAUGCCUUACACAUGCAAGUCGAACGGCAGCACGGGAGCAAUCCUGGUGGCGAGUGGCGAACGGGUGAGUAAUAUAUCGGAACGUGCCCAGUCGUGGGGGAUAACGCAGCGAAAGCUGUGCUAAUACCGCAUACGAUCUAAGGAUGAAAGCGGGGGAUCGCAAGACCUCGCGCGCUUGGACCGGCCGAUAUCAGAGUAGCUAGUUGGUGGGGUAAAGGCCCACCAAGGCGAAGAUCUGUAGCUGGUCUGAGAGGACGACCAGCCACACUGGAACUGAGACACGGUCCAGACUCCUACGGGAGGCAGCAGUGGGGAAUUUUGGACAAUGGGCGCAAGCCUGAUCCAGCAAUGCCGCGUGCAGGAUGAAGGCCUGCGGGUUGUAAAGCCCUUUCGGUAGGGACGAAAGCUCUCGACCUAACACGUCGGGAGGUUGACUUAACCUACAAAAGAAGCACCGGCUAACUCUGUGCCAGCAGCCGCCGUAAUAC
rnacentral:rRNA from 1 species